rnacentral:rRNA from 1 species
UGGGGAAUAUUGCACAAUGGGCGCAAGCCUGAUGCAGCAACGCCGCGUGAGGGACGACGGCCUUCGGGUUGUAAACCUCUUUUGGCAGGGAAGAAGCGGGCUGUUUGUUCAGACGUGACGGUACCUGCAGAAAAAGCACCGGCUAACUACGUGCCAGCAGCCGCGGUAAUACGUAGGGUGCAAGCGUUGUCCGGAAUUAUUGGGCGUAAAGAGCUCGUAGGCGGUUUGUCGCGUCUGCUGUGAAAACGCGAGGCUCAACCUCGCGCCUGCAGUGGGUACGGGCAGACUAGAGUGCGGUAGGGGAGAUUGGAAUUCCUGGUGUAGCGGUGGAAUGCGCAGAUAUCAGGAGGAACACCAAUGGCGAAGGCAGAUCUCUGGGCCGUUACUGACGCUGAGGAGCGAAAGCGUGGGGAGCGAACAG